AUUGAACGCUGGCGGCAGGCCUAACACAUGCAAGUCGAACGAGUGGCGGACGGGUGAGUAAUGUCUGGGAAACUGCCUGAUGGAGGGGGAUAACUACUGGAAACGGUAGCUAAUACCGCAUACCAUCGGAUGUGCCCAGAUGGGCGUAGCGAGUAGGUGGGGUAACGGCUCACCUAGGCGACGAUCCCUAGCGGGUCUGAGAGGAUGACCAGCCACACGGGAAUUGAGACACGGUCCAGACUCCUACGGGAGGUAGCAGUGGGGAAGAUGGGACAAUGGGCGCAAUCCGGAUGCAGCCAUGCCGCGUGUAUGAAGAAGUCCUUCGGGUUGUAAAGUACUUUCAGCGGGGAGGCGUUACCCGCAGAAGAAGCACCGGCUAACUCCGUGCCAGCAGCCGCGGUAAUUC
rnacentral:rRNA from 1 species